GUAGGUGGCAAGCGUUGUCCGGAAUUAUUGGGCGUAAAGCGCGCGCAGGCGGUCCUUUAAGUCUGAUGUGAAAGCCCACGGCUCAACCGUGGAGGGUCAUUGGAAACUGGGGGACUUGAGUACAGAAGAGGAAAGCGGAAUUCCAAGUGUAGCGGUGAAAUGCGUAGAGAUUUGGAGGAACACCAGUGGCGAAGGCGGCUUUCUGGUCUGUAACUGACGCUGAGGCGCGAAAGCGUGGGGAGCAAACAGGGAUUAGAUACCCUGGUCGUCCACGCCGUAAACGAUGAGUGCUAAGUGUUAGGGGGUUUCCCGCCCCUUAGUGCUGCAGCUAACGCAUUAAGCACUCCGCCUGGGGAGUACGGCCGCAAGGCUG
rnacentral:rRNA from 1 species